rfam:Candidatus Kerfeldbacteria bacterium RIFCSPHIGHO2_02_FTLL_42_14 rifcsphigho2_02_scaffold_1487, whole genome shotgun sequence.
GGCUGGGUAGCUCAGUGGUAGAGCGCAGGACUGAAAAUCCUGGCGUCGGCAGUUCGAUCCUGCCCCCAGCCA